UUAUUGUACAAUGUCUGCAGUGUUUCUGCUUUCUCAAGUAGUUAGUCGAUAUUGAACAACCCUGUGCAAAGAACAUGCGUAUAAAAUAUUAGAUUCAGGCAGUAGUAACCUACACGAUUAUGCGUGAUGACGAAGUUAUGGUGUUUUCUCCCCUCCUUGUUAGCCUUAUACCUUUCAAGCUCUGGUAGUCGUAGACCUACUUCAAGUUCUCCUUCGCUUAGUGACUGGUUGAGAUUGUG
rnacentral:misc_RNA from 1 species